UCGCCCCGCCCGCGGGGACAACGGCCCGCCCAACCGCCGCUCCCGCGAGACUGGAGCGGCCACGCCCACCAACGGCCGCGGCGUAUCCUGAGUGGCCCCGCUGGCGGCACUUGGUCUGUGUUUACUCACAGGUGAUCGCAAAACUGGAGCCACCCUGAGGAGUGUGUCAAUUUUAUCUCCACACCUCACACAAGAGGACAGACUGGCCUGAACCACUGGUAUCUCACAAAGUGUGUUAUGCACAGCCAGAUUAUCCAAAGUCUGGAGUGUCAGUGAUUCCUGGAAUUGCAUCAACCAGGCCAAGGUGGAGAGGAUUAAGGCAGGAGGGUAAAGUUGGUCCAUCUUAUACCAUCAUGGCCAGAAGUGGAAGUUUUCCCAGGAAGUUUUAUAAAUUGUCAUUUAUAAGACUGGGGCUGGCCCUGUGGUUCACAUGCUCUGCUGCGGGAGGCCCAGUGUUUCAUUGG